CAGGAAGCCAUCUUUAAUGUGGGCACAUAGAAAAUGAAACCAAGCUCAGCCUGCGAAAUAUGAAAUUGUAACAAUGUUUCCCUAUCCGCAAGGAAGGCUGCUGGUCAUGUGACAUGCAUGUUCAGUGCCUGCCCACAUCCCAGGGGUAGAACUAAUAGCACAAAUAGCUAUGUGACCUAUAUUUAAUUAAUAAGUGAUUCCUUGACUGCUGCCUAUUAGUUAUCUCAUCCUCGCAGACACAGAGAGCACAGGUUCCCAGCUGCUGAGGAAUAAGGAUCCCAGGACCUGGGGAGACACAGGUAUGCAGGGUGAUGGGUCUGCUGGAAUUCUAAAUACACUGGGACUAGGGCUUUGUCACAUUUAUUUAAGGACUAAUAGCAUUGAUUUCCACAUAUUUUAUUAGUGUUAUUAUUGGCAUUUAUAUAGCGCCAACGCAUUCCGCAGCGUUUUUACUAUAUCAUAAAAAGUAGAAAUUUAACAGUAAAUGAGACAAUUACAAAAUGUUACAGUAACAACAUCCAAUAAAUCAUUCCUAGGUAUUGGGUAACAUUGCACUUUAGCAGGUAGGGGAUACUAAAUUGGGAAAUCCAAGGGUAGUGUUGUACACAGGUAAUCAAAGAAUAACUGCUGCCACCUCAGCGCCCCGUGGAAGGGAUCCGCAGUCCCUUGUAGUAACUUUAAAUUAAUAGUUCUAUACAACACAUGAUUAAGGCUUGAGGCCAAAACGUUGUAUGUGAUUUUGUUCUUCUGAUCUCAAUAAAUAUCACCUUCAUUACAUCAGACCGUCAUGCCUUUGGGCCAUUGAUUUGAGUUAUGGGAUUCUAGUAUAUGGACAGGUGAAUGUCUAAUUGAUUGGCAGGUGUGUGUGUGUAUAGUUUUAAAAUUCUUCUUCCAUUUCUUUCUCCUUCCUUCUUUUACACUAUGAUACGUACACAUACUACCUUUCAGAUAGAUUCUCACAAACAUGCACACUGUGGGUUGCAGAUGCAAAUUUGGGGCAACGUGGUACAUGUUUAAAGACCUCUUGCCAGUUUCCAUGCAGGGCUGGUACGAGUUUUUUCUACACCAGACAGAAAUCCACUUUGCAACCCCUUUGUGUAUCCCACUUAACCAUUCACAGGGUUAUUCAGUAAAUUGAGAAUUGAAAGUUAAUUUAACAUUUAUGGCCAAAGUGGACAAACUGGAAGCAUAGCCGACUUACAAAAUGUUUCCAGCUUGACUAAUUUACCUUGAAUUUGAAAUUCACUUUGAUUUCUCACUAUAGUGAACAGCCCUGAGAGUCUCUUUUCCCAUCUCUUUGGCCUCCUUGGUUUUUCCCAUUCAUCUCACACAUCAUCUGACCAUUUAUCUUAGAUUUUUUUUUGACUAUUUCUUGUUAUUUCUCUUACCAUCUAUCAUUCCCCCCUCCAUCUGUCAUUUUCAUAACUAUUAUUUACCACUCUAUACAGUAGUCUGUGUGUGUUGUAGGCUGUGCGUUUAGUAAAUAAAGCAUGUUUGCGUAACCGUCACCACAAAUUAAAAUUUGUAUUUAAUUAAAACCUGUAUCAAGCUAUUUAAUACUAACAACAUGACCAAGCUAAAUGUUAAUUUCUGCAUUAAAAGUGCACCACUCUUGAUUUCCUUACAAAAAAUGCGCGCAGUUAUGCUAAUAUGCCUAUUCUGUAAACCUUAUUGUUCAAUCCUAUCUUGCUAUUGCUGCUGUGGCAUAGCGAGAAUGCUUGUUACCCUCAUGCACGUUAAGAAUAAAGAAUUUAUAAAAAGAAUCUCAGUUACACUGUACAGUGAGUAAAGCCCAUUUGAGUGUGUGAAUGUUUACUUGCCUAGUUGGGGUGCAGUGAGUAAAAGGUUGAUAAUCCUAUAACUUUCUGCUAUCGACACUUGUUUCGCAAUUUGUCUGUUGCUCAGUCUUCGUUCAUGCUCAUGCUUUUUAUAUGCAUUUGAUUAUUCGUUGUCACCCAUGAGCCUUCUGCUCAUGAAUAAAAUCAUUGUGCGCACACUACUUAUAUGUGAGGGAAGGUCAUGGGCACCACAUUUGUUCACGUUUGCCAAGCUUGUUUGGAUACUAAUAUCUGGAUAUAUCAUUUUGUAUUUUUUUUAAAUACUCUGUCAGGAGUAGAUAAUGUUCAAUCAAUCAAUAGGCUGUUUUAUAAAAGGGAACACAGUUAUGGGAAUGUGUGCUAAAGUAACUUUAGAUUCAUUGUGUUUAAAGGACCACGCUAAGCACAAUAAUCACUACACCCCCUGUUUGAGAGGAAUGGUGGGUAAGGAAGAUAUAAAGCCUGGUAGCAGCAUUCUCUGCAUAUUGUAGAGGGAUAAUGUGGAUAUUGGGAACACUGAUGAACAAGUGCAUUUGUAGCAUCUUGUGUUAGAUGGGGGUAAAUAGAGCAGCAUUUUCAAAGUUGCAGUAACAUGAUUUGGAGACAGAGUGAAUGGCAAAAAGGCAAGACUGAAAGCGAUGUAAUAAGUGUUCCACUGACCUGCAGUAAGUGGAGGUAAAAUAUAAGAAGGACAAAAGAAAAAAAUCAGGUAUUGGAAAAGCGAAACCAGGAAAAUAAAAUCCGGGUGACUCCAAUUGCAUUACUUUUGCGUCUGGAGCUUCAACUCUCAUUUUUAAUCCAGAACUGAAUAAUGAGUUCCAUUCUUUGCAUAUCAUAUUUUAGAAAGCCGCUAAAUUUUUCAGUUUUUAUAGAUCUCUCAAUAUUUAUUUCUCAGAAUGGACAAAGUUAUAUCCUGCAUGUACAAAAAACCCAACGCCACUACAAGGUUAAUAUGCUUCCCAUGGGCUGGAGGAGGAUCGAUAUUCUUUGCCAAUUGGGGAAGACUGUUCGAUGAGUCUGUAGAAGGUUUGUAAUUAUUUAACUAUUCGUGGUAUGUUUCUUUCCCUCUAUAGGAGAACGGAAAUGAUUUUGAUUGAUGUGUUUUUGUAACGGACCGUUUUGCUCACCAGAGGUUAAAAACCGUUUAGGCGAUAUUCCCCUUUUUCAGCUGCACAGACAGCUACUGUAAGCACCGAUCUCCCGAACUGGAAACACCCGAACACUAG